GGCUGAGCUAGAUAUUAAGGAUAUUAGCAAUCUGUUUUAACAAUUUCGCCAUACCAGCUUGGACACUUAGUGUGGGUUAUUUCACAAGAGCAGAUAGCUACACGAUAGCCUCGUCAGAGUUUAGAUCUAAUCAACAAAGAGAAACUAAACCACUUCAGUUAUACCACUAAGGCUGAAGAUGCACAAUGCUGUUGCAGUUAGAGAAUGAUUUAGCUGUGCUUACCUUCAUGUAGCUAUUCCGAAACAGAAAUGGGAAUAAGUUAAGGUGCAGUCAUCUCUGUACUGGCACAAUAAAGACCACUUUAAAGGCUGUAUAUUUUUUCCAGGAAUUCCACUUAAAAACUAGCUCUGCUAAUCAACAAAAUGCUGAAGAGCCAUGCCUGGAACAGCUGUAGAUUAGCCAUGCAUUGCAACCAGAAAACAAAGCUUCACCAAUCCAUUGAGCAUUUUCACAAGAAAAUUUAGGUACCAUUGUAUGUACCUUCUCACAGCCUCAGAUACAGCAACAUGCUCUUCCCCCACCAAAAUUCGGGACACAGGCAGGACUGUGAGGACGCACGACACGUGGUUGCCUCCUGUCAUUAAGCUAAAGAAUUUCUCACUGAAUCAUCUGAAGCAUAACAUUGAUGAGACACAGUUAACCUGUAUUCUUGUCUGCUGCGGAGUGGAGGAAUAAAAGCUUUCUGGUAUGUAAGUUCAAAGAAAUGGACCUUUUACCAGAUUUGAACAGUUGUCUUGGGAAUGCAGAUUUAUGAAAAUUGAUACCCUGUCUUUGUCC
rnacentral:lncRNA from 1 species